GAUGAACGUUGGCGGCGUGCCUAAUACAUGCAAGUCGAACGAAGACUGUAGUAAUACUGUCUUAGUGGCGAACGGGUGAGUAACGCGUGGGUGACCUGCCCCGAAGUGUGGGAUAACAGUUCGAAAGGAUUGCUAAUACUGCAUAAUAUCCAAGAGAUUAGACGCUUUUGGAUUAAAGGAGUAAUUCGCUUCGGGAGGGGCCCGCGUCCCAUCAGCUAGUUGGUAAGGUAAUGGCUUACCAAGGCGAUGACGGGUAGGGGACCUGAGAGGGUGGCCCCCACAAUGGAACUGAAACACGGUCCAUACACCUACGGGUGGCAGCAGUAGGGAAUAUUAGUAAUGGGCGAAAGCCUGAACUAGCAACGCCGCGUGUGCGAAGAAGGCCUUCGGGUUGUAAAGCACUUUUGUAGAGGAUGAGGGAAGGACGGUACUCUCAGAAUAAGUCUCGGCUAACUACGUG
rnacentral:rRNA from 1 species